GGUGUUCUGGUGUUCAAACCCCCCAUUCCUGCCAGAUAGGGCGUCAUCAGUGAAACAUACACUUUCAGACAUGCUAGCAACUGACCGCAGUGCCUCAGCAAGUCACAUCACACACAGGGCAGGUACAGCCUCUCAGAGUCACAUGUGGAGGCGGCGGCGCCUCAGCAAGUCACAUCACACACAGGGCAGGUACAGCCUCUCAGAGUCACAUGUGGAGGCGGCGGCGCCUCAGCAAGUCACAUCACACACAGGGCAGGUACAGCCUCUCAGAGUCACAUGUGGAGGCGGCGGCGCCUCAGCAAGUCACAUCACACACAGGGCAGGUACAGUCUCUCUCAGAGUCACAUGUGGAGGCGGCGGCGCCUCAGCAAGUCACAUCACACACAGGGCAGGUACA